UGAUACCUACGGGGGGCAGCAGUGGGGGAUAUUGCACAAUGGGGGAAACCCUGAUGCAGCGACGCCGCGUGGGUGAAGAAGCGCCUCGGCGCGUAAAGCCCUGUCAGCAGGGAAGAAAAUGACGGUACCUGAAGAAGAAGCCCCGGCUAACUACGUGCCAGCAGCCGCGGUAAUACGUAGGGGGCAAGCGUUAUCCGGAUUUACUGGGUGUAAAGGGGGCGCAGACGGCGAUGCAAGCCAGGAGUGAAAGACCGGGGCCCAACCCCGGGACUGCUCUUGGAACUGCGAGGCUGGAGGGC
rnacentral:rRNA from 1 species